CUGGAGAUGUGCGUACCUUUGCUCUUGCACUCUGCAGAUACACCCUUCAGCAACCCCAAGCUGCAGAGAAGCGUGCUAUCAAGUGAGCAGCCAGCUGUGUUACAGCCAACUCGAAGAAUGCCCAGGUUAACUGAGUGAGUCAAAAGCAGACUUUCUGAAUGAGGGGAAACACAACAAAGCAUGGAAAUACACUACGGACUGUUUUUUGUUUGGUUUUUUAAAUCAACACUAAACAAAAUAACAAAGUCAGAAACUAAAUGGAGAAAUGGAGCACUUGUUCUUCUAGCUGCUUGAUUGCAGGUUGAAAGAUUCGCAGCAAAAGUUAGUUUCGAAAAGUCAGCAGUUUUCAUUAGAAACAAAUUAAUCAAGAAAUGGCUAACCAGCUUUGGCAAGAAGACACCACGCGAGCAGCCUACACUGAAGUACAUCUGUACCAGAAAUAAAUUACAGAGAAAAACUGCAGCAGGAAUGAAAGUCAGUGGUAUCUUGAGGAAAGAAGUAUAAUAUUAAAUUGCGUAAAGGGUGAAACAGAAGAUGUAAUUACAUAGAAAAAAACUGAGGUAGAUCCAGUUAAGCCUCACUUAGAAUGCAGAAACCACUUGCCAUAUUAGCUAGCGUGCUCCAAUAGCCUUAAUUACUACAGUAAUCUGAGCCAUUCUCCUGCCUGAUCUUGAGCCAGCUUGAAAGGCUCUGAGCAACGGCAUGUGUAAAUAUCCAGCUUAAAUCAAUAAUCAGAAAGAAGGAAUAAAAUGCAGAGCGUGGAUUUGGCCAUA
rnacentral:lncRNA from 1 species